GACAGAGGAUGCAAGCGUUGUCCGGAAUCACUGGGCGUAAAGGGUGCGUAGGUGGCGCCGUAAGUCAGGUGUGAAAUUUUCGGAGCUUAACUCCGAAACUGCAUUUGAUACUGCGGUGCUUGAGGACUGGAGAGGAGACUGGAAUUCACGGUGUAGCAGUGAAAUGCGUAGAUAUCGUGAGGAAGACCAGUGGCGAGGCGGGUCUCUGGACAGUUCCUGACACUGAGGCA
rnacentral:rRNA from 1 species